rnacentral:rRNA from 1 species
UACGUAAGGGGCAAGCGUUGUCCGGAAUCACUGGGCGUAAAGCGCACGUAGGCGGCUUUUUAAGUCAGGGGUGAAAUCCUGGAGCUCAACUCCAGAACUGCCUUUGAUACUGAGGAUCUUGAGUCCGGGAGAGGUGAGUGGAACUGCGAGUGUAGAGGUGAAAUUCGUAGAUAUUCGCAAGAACACCAGUGGCGAAGGCGGCUCACUGGCCCGGUACUGACGCUGAGGCACGAAAGCGUGGGGAGCAAACAGG